UAACUGAAUCAUGGGGGCAGGUCUUUCCUGUGCUGUUCUUGUGAUAGUGAAUAGGUCUCACAAGAACUGAUGGCUUUAAAAACAAGAGUUUCACUGCAUAAGCUCUCUCUUGGCCUGCCACCAUCCAUGUAAGAUGUGACUUACUCCUCCUUGCCUUCUGCCAUGAUUGUGAGGCCUCCCCAGUCAUGCGGAACUGUAAGUCCAUUAAAUCUUUUUUUUUUUUUUUCCUUUGGUAAAUUGCCAAGUCUUGGGUAUGUCUUUAUUAACAGUGUGAAAACAGAUUAAUACAAGUGGUAACAGCAUUUUGUUUAGAAAUAAGGGAGGUGAUACCAGAAGAAACAGUACAGAUACCAGAAGAGCAGAACAUGGUUGCUUUGGAAAGCAGGAAUUGAGAAUAUGGAAAAGUGGGGCAGGAAAGUGCUGUUUUUUGGCAAUAAUCUUUGCAUAACUGCUUCUGUCCACUAUUGUAGAUACAAAUAUUACUUUGCUAAAGGUUAACUUCUUUAACCCCAUUUGGUUAAGAAGAGCAGCAAAGUAUUCUUGAAAGAAGUAGCUUAUUUGAUUGGCUGCUGUGUUAGACCCUUAUAUUCUACCUUGAAGCGGAAGGUCUUUCCUGAUCAAAGAUUGUAUGGUACCACAUUGUUCUUUUAAAAUUACUUGCCAUUUAUCCAACAAGCAUUUACGGUGCACCAACAAUGAGACGGGCUCUGAGCUAGGCACCGGCUCUGCUUUUCUUCAACCCAUGAGGCCUUUGCUGCCCAGAAGCAUGGCUCACAGUGAGGCCAGUAUGAAAAGGGGCACCUGAGACAAGGACGAUUGCCCUCUGCACCCACCCUUCCACCCCGUGUCUCUCACGUAGACAAGGGCAGUAGCCUCGUAUUGAGACACCCACUCUCCUCCUUUGUCCUCAUACAACCUAUUCACACAGGAGCCAGAGGAGUCCUUUUAACGUAGGUUAGAUCAGUUCAUUCUGCUGCCUCCAACCUCUACAUCUUCCCGGCUCAUUCGGCAUAAAAUCCAAAUCCCUCCAUGAUCAAAAGGCUCCACCCAGCUGGGCCUCUUACUGACUCUCCUGAACAUUCACAACCCCUGACAUCCCUCUCCUGUCUUCAUCUGCUUCUACCACUAAUACUAUGAUGCACGCAAUUACUUAGUAUCUCUUUCUGCACCAUGGACCACAACAAACAAGGCUAGUGACUUCACUGUGGUCAUUACCGCAGCCCCCGCACAUGGGACAGGGCCUGACACUAGGCAUUCGUAGCUAGUUGUUGAGUGAAUACAAGAACAGUAAGGAGGCACUGAAGAUGACGUUAGUAGGUGAAUGGUAACAGGUUUGAGCAUUAAAAAAACAUUAUUGAGGUAGAAUACACAUACGAGUUAACAUCUUUACCAUUUUUAAGUGUACAAUUCAGUGGUAAUAAAAACAUUCAUAUUCUCUUUUUCCCGUUAAUCCCCCAACUCCAGCCCCAUCCUCUGGCCUCUGGUAACCACCAAUCUGUUUUCUAUUUUCAUGAGACCCCUUUUUUUUUCUUUGAGACAGAGUCUCUCUCUGUCACCCAGGCUAGAAUGCAGUGGUGCUAUUUCAACUUAUGGCAACCUCUGCCUCCCAGGUUCAAGUGAUUCUUGUGCCUCAGCCCCCCAGCUGGGAUUACAAGCAUGUGCCACCACACCCAGAUAAUUUUUGUAUUUUGUAGUAGAGAUUAACCAUAUUGGCCAGUCUGGUCUCAAACUCCUGGCCUGAAGCGAUCCACCCCCCUUGGCCUCUCAAAGUGCUGGAAUUACAGGUAUGAGCCACUGCACCCAGCCUGAGAUCCACUUUUUUAGCUCCCACAUGUGAGUGAGAAAACGUGAUACUUGUCUUUCUAUGCUUGACUUAUUCCACUUAACAUAAUGGUCUCCAGACUUGAGCACUUCUAAACCAUCACACUUCCUGCUGUGUGAAGAUACAUUGCAAAUAAGAAUAUCUGCAGAGACACAGGAAGCCCCGAGGGGAGGGCCAGUAUUGCAGUGAGGAGCCUGGGUCAUCAGUGGCACUGGCAGAAGGGAUGGUGAGACCUUGAAAGCCACAGCACACAUUUAGGAGGUAGAGCCUCUAGGCUUAGGGACUGCUCAUGUUUGGGACUGAUGUGCAGAAAGUGGUCCAAGUGGUAUCCAGGUUUCCAGACCCUUGAGGAAAUGGUGGUAAUUGGUGUUUGAGGGAAACAAUAAUGAAUGUUGUAUUAUUAGUAGUAUGAAGUAACAAGGUUGAGGUUAUUGAUGACUGCAGUUAUUAGGUGGCAUGUUACACAGGUGACUCAGGAGACAUGUCUAGGCUGGAGAAACAAGUCAUUAGGAUCUAGAAGGUAAUGGAAUCUGUGGAGGUUGGUUCACCCAGUCAGAGCUUACAGAGUGAGAUGAGAAGAGGCCAAAAACAAAAUUUUGAGAAACCCUGAUUGUCAUACAUGUCAUGAUAUUCUACCUCUAGGCUGAGGCACUCAUUGCCCAGAGGCUGAGCCUUCCCUUGGAAUUGCCCGCAUUCAAAGACAGCUGCUUUACCCAGGGUCCUAUCCCCUUCCUGGAGACAACCCUCGUCUGAUACCUGAUCAGGUGUAUCUCCCAAGAGGAUUUCCCAAAAUCCCCCUACACAUACAUAUCUAUUUCGCAGUCAUGAAAUAGAGAAACCCAACCUGCCACAUCAAUACUUAAGGAAGAUACAGAAGUGGCUGAUCUGAGGAAAAGCAAGAGAGAUAGAAGGUGAUCCUGGCUGAUGUAGGGCUAAGGAAGCAAAGAAAGGGCUUUAUUCAAGAGAGAGGCAGGUUUGAAAAUCCAUGAGGUCAAGCAAGAUGCAUAUUGAAAAUUGAUCAUCGGAUUAAGCAAUAAGAAGGCUAUUGAUGACCGCCAAGUGUUGCUUUCUUGGAGUGGAGGAGGUAGAAGUCAGAUGUCAUUGUGCUGAUAGGAACGGCAGAAGAUGAGAUGUGGUGAGUGGUGACUCUUAAGUUGAGAGAGACUUGAGCACAUCCAAACACUGGAGGGAGAGGUAACCGACCCAGGGAAUGUAGAGGCCAACCAAUGGGACAAGGUCUGGGAGAGGCCACAUCUUCCACUAAGAGUUCAUAGGUCUUCAGAUGGAAAGGAGCAGUAUCCAAAAAGAGGUGAUCAAGGAAUGCAACCUGAGGAGCUUCAUCUGCACUUGGACCUGAUGAGAUGACAAAACCCUGGACAUCAAGCCACUAUAAUGGGAUGAGACUGUGGGAAAAGAGUGAAUGUAUUUUUCGCACAAGAAAGCUUUGAAUUAUUAUGACCAGAGGGAGAUCCGUAACACUGUGCUAAGCAAAGAGCCACCUAUUCCAGUUAUCUGCCCUAUGCUGUUGAAGUCUCAAAGAAGAACCCCAGAAGGGCAAGAUGGAUAUUGCAAGACCUCAUGGGUGGAUGCUCUGGAACUUGCUCCACAUCCCUUCGACUGCACUCUGUUGGUCAAAGCAAGUUACAAGCAUAUCCAAUGCAUUUUGUCCUGAGGAAGUCUCCUGGUUCCAGAUGAAAGAGAAUACAAAAUUGUCAGCAAUACAGCAAAACAGCCUGAAGAAACAAGUGACAAAUUCCUACACAUUUAUCAGGAAGUCAAUACAUGUGGAGUAAGAAUAACUGGAUUACACAAUUAAGUAGCACAAUACAAAGUGUAGCAGUCCCCACCUUGCGGAUGCCUGAAACAAAACCCUACAUAUACUACACUUUUGCCUAUACAUACAAACCUAUGAUAAAGUUUAAUUCAUAAAUUAAGCACAUGAAGAGAUGAACAACAAUGACUAAUAAUAAAACAGAACAAUUAUAACAAUAUACUGCAAUAAAAGUAAAAUAAGGAUUACAUGAUCCCAAGCACUGUGAGACGGCAGCAGUCAAUCUGAUAGCCAAGACUGCUGCUAAGUGACUAACGGGCAGGUAGCGUCUACACCAUGGAUAUGCUGGACAAAGGGGUGAUUAAUGUCCCAAGUGGGACAGAGCUGGACAGUGUGAGAUUUUAUGAUGAUAUUCAGAACAGCAAGUAAUUUAAAACUUAUGAAUUAUUUAUUUAUGGAAUUUUCCAUUUAAUAUUUUCAGACUGUGGUUGACCUCGGGUAACUGAAACCACAGAAAGCAAAACAUGGAUAAAGUGGGGUCUACUGUAGGGGCAAUGUUUAAAAGCAUUUGAAUUGCUCUUGUAUGCCUUACUUUGAGAUUAAUUGUAUAAGUUUUCAGAAUUAUUGAUCAUAUCGAAAUUUAAAUUUGAUGUGAAGGAAGUAUCUUAGGAGAAGCUAAAAAAUACAUAAAUGAACGAAGACUGGAAGAAUCUUCAAGAUGUUAAAAACUCAUAUAACCACAGAAAUAAAAACUCCAAUUGUUAAAGUCAUAGUAAAGAGAAGGAAGCAAAUCAUAAUAGGUCAAAAUAUAAAGAUAAAAUGACCACUGAAAGGAUAAUAAAGAUUGUGAAAAUCAGGACACUCUCAAACAGAAACCAAAAGCGGAAGAGAGAUGAAAGCAAGAGCAAAGUAAGACACAAUUUGUACGAUCAACAGAACUGGCACUAGGGUCAAGAGCAGCUUCACUUUGCAGAAUUCAUCAAUUUGAAGAACUUCUGUGAUCUUUUGUGAUGGCCUGUUACAAUGAACAGUAGUUUCAUUUAUAUCUGUUCCACUAAAAACCACUGCUUUUUCCAAUAUCGUGAUCACAGUAAUGUUUACAAAGAAUCAAACAGAACAUAAGAAGGACUAAAGAUACUUCUGAAACAGAUAUUAAAAAAUAAUAAUGAUGGCCAAACUGCUGAGAUGGUGGCUGGCCUCUCUGAAGACUAAGGGCCUGGUGCUGUUUUGGUUGUAAACUGUGUUCCAUUAAGUGGUACCUCAAAUGAACCGGACACUAAAUACUCCUCCAUUAUUAUAGAUUCUGCAUUGGAUGUCACAGACAUUGAUCUGUGGGAAAUACUGUGUGCUACUCCUGAGAAAACCCUAUGAGAAAUUUUAAACUUUUUUGCUGACAACUAUUUAUGACUUUAUUCAACAAAGUGAAACAACAUUUGGACGACUGUUGCCUGUUCUUGAAUGUCAUUCAUGGUCAGCCACACAAAAACACUGCUAUUACAGAGAACAAAGGGCCCCACCUGCUCUUUAAAAAUAUUUGUAAAUGGCGCAGUGUGUGUGGUGGGCAUCUCGUUCCCUUAAAACUGUUGGAGAAAAAGCUGCCUCCACAAUGCUGAGGUUGUUGAUGACUUUGCCAUUCUGCUACAUUAAAUGUUUUCUUUUCAGGUUUGAAUUGUAGAUGUGUUAUUAUCUGUACAUCACAUAUGCCAAGCUGGAUCUUCCUUUAAAGCUUUUAGGGCUGAUAAAAUGCCUUGGCCAUUACGAAGCUAUUUAAGACUCACACGUGAGGCCAAAAAUAUUUGAAUGACACUGAUGUACAUUUUUUAAAACUCAGAGGAGAAACCUGAGAAGAAACAAAAUGGAAAAAAAAAAAAAAAAAAAUUAGGCCAGGCACGGCGGCUCACGCCUGUGAUCCUAACACUUUGG
rnacentral:lncRNA from 10 species